GACAAUAAACUCUCUGCCCAAAUUCGUGGUAGAAAAUACAGUCUUCGUCGGGGCAAAGAACUCUCUGGAAUUUUUGAGAAAAUUCUGGAAAACUUGCUUAAGGGCAAAAUAGUUAUUCCACCCAUAAUCAGUUGAAAGUGUGGGGAGUGAAAAGAAGUAGAAUUACAUGGAGAAUACAAUAGAAACGAGGACAUUAAUUUAAUUGACUAAGGGACAUAGAUGAAAUUUUAUAGAAAGUGCAAGGGUAAAAUAAGAAUCUAUAAGUAUUAUUAUGUUAUAUUAAGGAUGUAAGAAUGAAACCCUAGCCACUUUUCCCUUUCAUUCACGCCACUCUCCACCCAAAUUCUCUCAAAUUUCUUUAAUCAAUUUCCAAGGAAAUUCAUAGAGUUUGGUUCAUUUUUUGUAGAAUUUCAAUCUUAAGCAUCCCUAAGGUUUAAGAGAAAGAGAGUUGUAUCAAAAGGAGACUAAAGUGUUUGGGUUGCUCAUAUCUAAGGUAAUGGAUGAGAAGGGGUCAGUCGAAACGUCAAGAAGCGGAAGAACUUGAUAACACUAUCCGAUUGUAAUUUGAGUUUAUUGUUUUUGACACUAUGAUUGAAUAUAGAGAUUUGUGUAUAAAAAGAAAUUAGCUAUGGACCCUCUAUUUCAUGCUUAUAUAAUUUCUAUAUAUGUUUAGUGAGUUUACUUAUAUUUCACAAGUAUACUAGCUAAAGUGAGUCGUUGAUAUUUGAAUUCAACGUUAAAUAUACAGCAUAGAAUUGGGUUGCCAAAAGCAGUAGCC